rnacentral:rRNA from 1 species
UACGUAGGGUCCAAGCGUUGUCCGGAUUUAUUGGGCGUAAAGAGCUCGCAGGCGGCUCGGUAAGUCGGAUGUGAAACCUCCAGGCUCAACCUGGAGUCGCCAUCCGAUACUGCUGUGGCUUGAGUCCGGUAGGGGAGCAUGGAAUUCCUGGUGUAGCGGUGAAAUGCGCAGAUAUCAGGAGGAACACCAGUGGCGAAGGCGGUGCUCUGGGCCGGAACUGACGCUGAGGAGCGAAAGCGUGGGGAGCAAACAGG